rnacentral:rRNA from 2 species
GGAUGCGAUCAUACCAGCACUAAAGCACCGGAUCCCAUCUGAACUCCGAAGUUAAACUUGCUUGGGCGAGAGUACUACUAGGAUGGCUGACCUCCUGGGAAGUCCUCGUGUUGCAUUCC